rnacentral:snRNA from 1 species
UUAUAUGUAUUUGGUUACAAA